GGAGUCUGGGCCGUGUCUCAGUCCCAAUGUGGCCGUUUAACCUCUCAGUCCGGCUACUGAUCGUCGGCUUGGUGGGCCGUUACCUCACCAACUACCUAAUCAGACGCGAGCUCAUCUUCCGGCAAUAAAUCUUUGAUAACAAAGUCAUGCGGCUUCGUUAUGUUAUGCGGUAUUAACAUCCGUUUCCAAAUGGUAUCCCACACCGAAAGGCAGAUUGCUCACGUGUUACUCACCCGUCCGCCACUAGCUUGAGAGUGCAAGCACUCUUUCGCUCGUUCGACUUGCAUGUGUUAAGCGUGCCGCCAG
rnacentral:rRNA from 1 species